rnacentral:rRNA from 1 species
GACGAACGCUGGCGGCGUGCUUAACACAUGCAAGUCGAGCGAUGAAACACCUUCGGGUGCGGAUUAGCGGCGAACGGGUGAGGAACACGUGAGGAAUCUGCCUUCCACUCUGGGAUAACUCCGGGAAACCGGGGCUAAUACCGGAUACUUUCAACUGGCGGCAUCGCCGGUUGAAGAAAGUUUUUCGGUGGAAGAUGACCUCGCGGCCUAUCAGCUUGUUGGUGAGGUAAAGGCUCACCAAGGCGACGACGGGUAGCCGGCCUGAGAGGGCGACCGGCCACACUGGGACUGAGACACGGCCCAGACUCCUACGGGAGGCAGCAGUGGGGAAUAUUGGACAAUGGGGGCAACCCUGAUCCAGCCAUGCCGCGUGAGUGAUGAAGGCCUUAGGGUUGUAAAGCUCUUUUACCCGGGACGAUAAUGACUGUACCGGGAGAAUAAGCACCGGCUAACUACGUGCCAGCAGCCGCGGUAA